UUAAAGGAUAAAAGUAAUCCUUUGGUCU
rnacentral:tRNA from 1 species